GCUUGGCGACGUGGGCCAAGGCUUCGUAGUGUCGGAGUAAACAAAUUUCUCGCGCCAAUCGAGGAUCUCUUCCGGAGUCAUGUGGAGGCUGUCGAAGACG
rnacentral:lncRNA from 1 species